CCUACAAGCCUGCUGAGUCCCCCUUGCGGUUCAUUCUGGUUCUCUGAAUCGCCUUGUCUGCCUUGGCCCCAUCCUUGACCAUACCCUCCAGUUGCAAUUAUUUCGCCAGGCAUGCCGUACAAGCCACCCUGUGGACCACUGAUUCCUCCCCAUGGCCGCGGGAAUGCACCACUCCCACUAGGUCCCUGAAAUCCCCAAGGCGUGCCCGCAGAAAUUAGGCCACUGGGAUUGCCCCACGUAAACCACGUCAGUGGCGAACCUCCUCUGGGCAGACCCCACUGUCCACUCACGCCUGGACUUCCUCCGCGCGGCACAGCAACCAACCUCAAUACGUAGACUGGAGUACUCCAGUAUGCGAAGGGGCUGCUUCCGUACCCAUCGUAGAUGUUGCCCCAGGAG
rnacentral:lncRNA from 1 species